CGCGUAGGCGGAUCUGCAAGUCCGUAAGUGAAAUCCCGCCGCUCAACGGCGGGGCUGCUUGGGAAACGGCAGGUCUGGGGACCGGUAGAGGUCGGUAGAAUUCCCGGUGUAGCGGUGGAAUGCGUAGAGAUCGGGAAGAAUACCCGUGGCGAAGGCGGCCGACUGGGCCGGAUCCGACGCUGAUGCGCGAAAGCGUGGGGAGCAAAAC
rnacentral:rRNA from 1 species